AACUAAAAAGAAAGCAGCAGCAAACCCAUAUUAAAAGCCAAACGAUGAACCAUAUUAUGAGGAAAAGUGUCAGAAGAUGAAAUUCUGCUCGGCUUCCAGGCAAGCGAAUCUCCAUCCUGCAAUGUGCAGAGAAGCUGCUGAAAUGCUGGGAUAGAGACCGGGGGAAACACUAAGAAAUUCCUGACUCCCUGUAGGGCACAAAGUGUGAGCACAAAGAAGAGGGAGGAGGGAGAUGGGUCAUCACUUAAGACUGUAAACUCCUCCUGCUGAGGAAAAGAAGGUGGCCUGCUCCCUCUAUAGGCUUCUCUGGUUGUUGCUUUCACGAACCAGCCAUCCAGGGGAUCAGAGCUGCAUGCUUUUGAAGAUAAUAGAAAACGCUGAAGUGAGAUGUAUUUUGCGUUUAAAUUUAGAGAUGGUGUUUGUGUGUGUAAAUGUGUGUGAAUAUGCAUCUGUGUGCGUAUGCACGUGCGUGUGUGUGUGCAUAUGCCCACAGACAUUCUCUAACACCUAUGUAUAUAGCUACUUUUCUUGCAAAAGUCACAUAUGGAGCUGUUUUACUGUUUAAUUUUAGUCUUUUUUUAGAGCAAGUGCAUGAUCCUUUUGUGUGAACUUGCUGUUUGUUAAUGGUUUGUGACAACAACCUCCUGACUGCAUCUUACCCUUAUUAAUUGAAGAGACACCAUCUGAGCCAGCAGUUCCAUGAACUCAGGCACGCUUCCUCCCCAGUGUCCUCUAUCCCAACUGCUUUUCUCUCCUCUCUGUCCCAGGACUUUGCCUCCUCAGUUGCACCAGCCCUGCAAUUUCUGGCAUCGUUCUGGUAAGAAAAGCAACCUGUAUUAAGAACAACUCUGUAAACAAAAAGCCUAUUUGUAAUUUGGAUCAGCUCAGUGACCUGAUUUACAGCACAAACCCAUAAACAGUUGCAGAGAAGCAUGAGUGUGAAGAAGCAGCCACAGGCAAGGCAGGAAUGGGAGACAGACGGUCCCAAGCUGUCCUUGCAGCUGAAGUCCCCCUUUUGUAUAACUACAGCUGCCAGUGUACCUUUGCUCUGGCACAGAUAUCAAAGGGAAUUCCCCUGCACUGCCUGAAGUAACACUUUAGGGAAAAACUGACACAUUGGUGAGUUAUAUAUUAACCAUUAUAGAGAGUGGCAGCGUGACAAGGCUGUGAGUUACUGAUAAAAUAAAAUAAAAAAGCAACAUUUCCAUUAUGCAGAGCAUGGGUAAUAGCUCCUAGGAAAAAACGACCCAACUCUUUCCACUAAAUUAUACUGUUUUCAAUUCUUCCAUACUUUCUGAAAUGUGACUAUAUUGUUCAGAUGUUUUCAAUGCUAAAUAAAUGCCUCUGGCUGUUUCUUGUGGGUUGCUGAGGGGAGAAGGCAGGAAAUGUUUUAGCUAAAAUGAUGCAGCUUUUUCCAAGGAAGUGUCAGCAGAGUAGCAUACAAGAUUUCAGGAGUUACAAAAAAAAAAAAAAAAAUUAUUGUAGCAGUCAUUCAACACUGUGCUCAGUUUUCCUUCCCAAGGUCUGACCUUGCUCUAUGUUCAGCAUUAUCAGAGAUCUGCUGCAAUGAAGUUUAGGUUCUUAUGUCUCAUAGGACGCAAAUUAAUUGCUUUAACUUAAGUUUAAAAGCACAACCUUGCCAGAGAUGACAAAUGGGAGGAUUAUAUAUCACCAGUUAAAUGACUAAUGUUUUAUUUGUCUUUGAAGUUUCUGGUGAAAGCUGAAGCAUAAUGGUGAAAGAAAAAGUAAUUUAAGUUACAUAACACCUCACAUAUGGAAUUGAUAAUGCUCUGGUUUUAUAUGGAAUACAUUGUUUUCAGUGGUUAUGUAUAUAUAUAUAUAUAUACAUAC